rnacentral:rRNA from 1 species
AACGAACGCUGGCGGCAUGCCUAACACAUGCAAGUCGAACGAAGGCUUCGUCCUUAGUGGCGCACGCGUGCGGAACGCGGGGGAAGCUGCCCUUAGCCUUCGGAUACCAGUUAUACAUGACUGCUAACACCGGAAGACGUCGCAAGACCAAAGAUUUAUCGGCCAAGGAUGAGCCCGCGUAGGUCUAGCUAGUAGGUGGGGUAAAGGCCUACCAAGGCGGCGAUCCUUAGCUGGGCUGAGAGGAUGAUCCGCCACACUGGGACUGAGACACGGCCCAGACUCCUGCGGGAGGCAGCAGUGCUGAACAUUGGACACUGGGCGAGUGCCUGAUCCAGCAGUGCCGCGUGAGUGAUGAAGGCCUUAGGAUUGUAAAGCUCUUUUACCCGGGAUGAUCUUGCCGGUACCAGAGGAAUAGGCUCCGGCUAACUCCGU